UACAGAGGUCCCGAGCGUUGUUCGGAUUCACUGGGCGUAAAGGGUGCGUAGGUGGCGAGGUAAGUCGGAUGUGAAAGCUCGGAGCUCAACUCCGAAAUGGCAUUGGAAACUACCUUGCUCGAGGGGUUGGAGGGGGACUGGAAUACUUGGUGUAGCAGUGAAAUGCGUAGAUAUCAAGUGGAACACCAGGUGGCGAAGGCGGACUUCUGGGUUGUUACUGACGCUGAGGUACGAAAGCGUGGGGAGCAAACGGG
rnacentral:rRNA from 1 species